UCGCGAGAAUGCAGGCGGUGUCCCGUGCGACCGCCUGUUCCCUCGCACCUGCCGUGCGGGUCAGUUUCCCUCAGCCCGUGUUUCUCAGGCAGGGCGGCGUAACCCAGCCCGUCCUAACAGAGCCCUACGGCUGCGCCCGCAAGGAUCGGAAGGCGGGCCGUAGCGAUUCCGUGUGCCUGUGGGGCGGCUGAACUCCAGGAAGCCGUGUCAGUGCCGAGGUGGCUGUGCUCUGGGCAGUGUUCCCAAGGUCUCAGAGAUACUGUAACGAUCCCUGGAGGCAUACCACCAGUACUUCUUUUGCUUCAGGAAUCAAGCCAACUAUAUUAGGAGGAAGAGCAAAUAAAGAAGGCCUCAACCCUCUCCUGGGGACCAGAGAUAAUUAAGAGAAACAUUUAGAGAGACUCCAAAUUCAGGGACCAGGAGUGAAACAGCAGAGCUGCCCAUAGCUCAUGUCUGAGCCGGGGAAGAAGUUUAGAUGUUUGCCAGUCUUUCAUAAUAUUGUCAUGUCUCCCCUCUCCAGAUUUCCAAGAAAUAAAUAUUUCUGGUAAGCCCUAUUAGAAGAGUAAAGAAGAAAAACUGUUUUGGUUUGGCACCAAGAGAAGAACUUAUAACCAUAAAUUAAUUUCUCCUUAUUUCAUGCAUGUAUUUGUUCAAUGUAGCCUUUUGAGAAUGUUCAUUGUAACUCUGGCUGUAGCUAUACCUCUAAUGUUUUCCUACUUUUAAAAGGCAGUGGUCAUUAUCUGCCUUUUUUGGUUUUGUUGUUUGGCUUUUUGUUUUGUUUUGGUUUUUUGUGCCAGUUCUAUCUGAAAGUAGAUUCCAUAAAAUUUUCUUUAAAUGAAAAAGAUUUCUGAAACUAAAAAUAUUGGCACAAUUUUGUUAUUAU